GACGAACGCUGGCGGCGUGCUUAACACAUGCAAGUCGAACGGGAUAAUUUGAGAGCUUGCUCUUAGAGAAUCUAGUGGCAAACGGGUGAGUAACACGUAGACAACCUGCCGACAGGAUGGGGACAACAUUCCGAAAGGAAUGCUAAUACCGAAUGAAGCGGAGGAGAGGCAUCUCUCCUCCGUGAAAGAUGGCCUCUGAAUAUGCUAUCACCUGUCGAUGGGUCUGCGUCUGAUUAGCUAGUUGGUGAGGUAACGGCUCACCAAGGCGACGAUCAGUAGCCGGUCUGAGAGGAUGAACGGCCACAUUGGGACUGAGACACGGCCCAGACUCCUACGGGAGGCAGCAGGGGGGAAUCUUCCGCAAUGGGCGCAAGCCUGACGGAGCAACGCCGCGUGAGUGAAGAAGGUCUUCGGAUCGUAAAGCUCUGUUGACGGGGACGAACGUGCGAAGGGUGAAUAAUCCUUUGUAAUGACGGUACCUGUCGAGGAAGCCACGGCUAACUACGUG
rnacentral:rRNA from 1 species